rnacentral:rRNA from 1 species
UACAGAGGUCCCAAGCGUUGUUCGGAUUCACUGGCGUAAAGGGUGCGUAGGUGGCGAGGUAAGUCUGAUGUGAAAUCUCCGAGCUUAACUCGGAAUGGCAUUGGAAACUACUUUGCUUGAGGGUUGGAGGGGGGACUGGAAUUCCUGGUGUAGCGGUGAAAUGCGCAGAUAUCAGGAGGAACACCGGAUGGCGAAGGCAGGUCUCUGGGCCGCAAGCUGACGCUGAGGAGCGAAAGCAUGGGGAGCGAACAGGAUUAGAUAC